GUGGUCACGUGAUCAAAACAACUGUCAAAAAACCAUCAUGGCAGAUUAGACAUUUUUGUAGAACGGUUGUGUUUUGUUAUGUUUUCUAUUGCGAUUAUUUGAGUGGAUUUUUCAUAUGUGACCCGUUAAUAUGAUAUCGUCAAUAAUAUCCCGACUGGUUAUAUUGGUAUUCGGAACUCUCUAUCCGGCUUAUGCCUCCUAUAAAGCUGUGCGGACGAAGAACUUGAAGGAAUACGUAAAAUGGAUGAUGUACUGGAUUGUGUUUGCGCUGUUCACGUGCACGGAGACGUUCACGGAUGUAUUCCUUUCGUGGUUCCCGUUCUACUACGAGGUGAAGAUAGUGCUCGUGCUGUGGCUUCUCUCGCCGGCCACCAAGGGCUCGUCCAUACUCUACAGGAAGUUUGUACACCCGGCGCUGUGCAGGAGGGAACAGGAAAUAGAUGAGUAUAUCGCGAAAGCCAAAGACCAGGGUUACCACACCGUGCUCAACUUGGGCACCAAGGGCGUUAACUAUGCCACCACCGUCAUAAUGCAGACUGCCAUAAAAGGCGGCGGCGGGCUGGUGCAGCAGCUGCGCAAGAGCUACAGCCUGUCGGACCUGACGGAGUGCUCGCCGCGCGAGGAGCGCGCCGGCGACGAGGCCGACGACGUGCUCGCCGAGCCGCGCCUCGUCCGCCGCGCCGCGCACGCUGGAUAUUCGACACGUCGCAGCGCUUCCGAGUCGAAUAAUCGACAGCCGAUGUACUUUCCCGAAGUCGACGUGGACGUCAGAAGUCCUCGACCUAACCGAUUGGAUGAACCUGAUUUCAGUCACAUCAAAUCGUCCGAGGACAUAAGCUCGGGGUACUCCAGCGCGGACAACUCGGCGUCGCUGACGCGCACGGCGUCGCUCGGCGCGGGCGCGGCCGCCGCGCGCGCACGCGCCCGCAGCGCGCGCACCACCGUCACCGCCAUCAAGCGCCCGCAAGCCGCCGAGGAAAGUGAAGUUAUCAUCGAGGAGCUACACGACGACGAUAGUUUUGAAUAUGCGAAUAUGCCCCCGCUUAUUAAUCAUCCGUCUCCCUUAUACUUAUCCCAUUCUGAUCCUCCAUUUAUAUACCAAUAUGUUGGUGACCAGAUAAAAAUAGUCCAAAUAUUAGGUAAUUAUCCCUUACAGACAAGUUCUAAUGAUCAAACUAACAAUACAGAUCACUGGGACCAAAAAGAAGUCACUCCUAAAGAAGCACCGUUAGAUAUCGAAUCCCAAAUUACGACUGGUGAUACGAAUGAUAUCUUUGAAGAUACCCAAGAAAUUAUAUUAAAAAACGAAAAUGACGAUGUAGACAAUAAAACUAUGCACGCUAUUAUUGAUAAAAGUGAGUCAAAGGACAAUGCAAUGCAAUCAAACAUACUUGUAUAUAAUCCUAUAUUGACAGUUGACAAUAAAAACGAAGACAUCUCCGAAAAUGUUUCUUGUUCCAUCCAACCAGAGGAUAAUAGAGAAACGAAGUCCACUAGUAUAGUUAAAGAAGAACAGGAAAAUGAAAUUCCUCUUGGGGAAAAUAUAUCGGAACAAGAUACAAAUACGAAUAAUCCAGAUAUAUCUUUUAUUGACGUUGAUUCCGCAGAAAGCGAUGAUGAGGCUUCUUUUAGUACCCCGGAUCAUUCUCCUAAAAGUAAAAAGAAAUUAUUAAAAGGGAAAUAUGGAAAAGCAAAAGCUCCGCCACCUCCUCCCCCGACUAUCAUAGCAGAGAAAGAAAAUGUGGAAGAUGUUACUGGGAAUGUUGCUGUUGAUACAUCUGAGGAAAGUUUAACUGACAUAAUAAAAAAGAUGCCUAAUUUAUGUUUUAAAGAUAGUGGGUUACAUAAAGAUUUACAAGUUGUAAAUCCUAUUGCUGAACAAAAACAAAGGCAUAAAUCUAGAUCACCUGGAAGAAUACCUAAAGGAAACAGUUCUGGUAUCGGCAAAUUAUUACAGUUGCCUAGUAAAUUAGCGUUUUGGAAUAGAGGUGAAGAUUCAUCUAAGUCAGAUAAUGAAUCAACUUCAUCGGAAUGUAACAGUAGAGCUUCUACAGUGGAAAAACAAAUUAUAGAUGAAUUUCAAAGUUGCCAUGAUUUAACUAAUGUUGAAAAUGUCCAAAAUGAUCCAAUCAACAUACCUCAAAUCGAAAUAACGGAUUCACAUUCGAAUGUAAAAGAGGCCUUAGAUUUAGACGGUGAGAAUAUAAACGAAGAUUUAAAAGAAAAAAGUGACGCAUUACAAAAACUCAUUGACGCGACAAUAGAGAAUCACCCAGAAUACAAAUAUAUUCCCUUGCAUGAAGAUAUAUCAACUACAUCAAAAAGUACAGAAGUUUAGAUUCCUAUACUCCUGACUCCAUUCAUUAUAGCUGCAGAAGUUAAGCAGAACAGCAAUGCUGUCGGCCUCUGCUACAAUCCCCCGCGCAAAAAAAUCUAGUAAAAGGAGAACUCAAUAGACAAAUGCAUACCCCAAAUAAGUAUAUAAUAUUAAACCUUUCUUCAUCUUAAAAGUCGCAUCUUCAUUGAGUUCUUUAUUAAAACAUAAAAAAAACUGAAAUAUUGCCACAUAUGAUAUACAACAUUUAUGUAUUGCGCUGUACGAACUUAAAUAUACAGCUUAUAGUUUAAAUAUAUUCUUCAUAAAUAGCUAUUAGACUAUAAUUUUUACAUAAAAGUACUUUUUAGGAAUCAAAUUUCUAUCCAGCAUGACGCCUCAAUGAAAAUGCGCCUCUGUCCAGCUUCUAGUAUCAGCGAUUAUAGUGAGCCCCAAAAUCCACAGCAUGAUAAAUGUUAUGUAAUUAUCAGAUGUUUUACUUAGCUUUCCCCAGACAUCAGAUAUACAGCCAUGCUUUAUAUUUCUAGCGAUACAAUACAUUUGAAAGAAAAGCAACUGAAUACUGCAAUUGAUAAAUCUCUACUAUGCUAAUGAGAUCGAUUGUAGACAGUUAAAAAUAGUUUAUUAAAUAUGAGGUCAGACGGCAUACUUAUUUCACACCUCAAUAGUUAUUAAAACAAUAAAAUGUGUUGCAAUUAUUUAUUGUCAGUCUUUAUAGGCAUAAAAUGCACAAUUUUAUUGAUAAUGUAUGGUUUAUGAGGACAUGAUUCUCAAUAAUGAUACUCGUUUUAUCAUGCAUACUUUAUUUCUAUCAUAGGUUUAUAAAAUAAAAUUGAAUUAUUACCAUUAUAUAUUUUAAGCACAAAAUUAAUUUGUUUAUGCACAAUUUUAAAACGCAACAAUAUUUUAAUAACAAUGUAUUUUUUUUAUAUACAUUAAGAUUAUUAAUGUAUGUAAUUUACAUGUCAUUUGCAUUCUCAUUGGUAAAUUAUAUUUUUGCCAAAAUUUGCCAAAUAUGAAACAGUAGACAAGUUGAUGAUUAGCUAAUUUUCUUUAUUAGUCAUAUUUAUUAGAAUUAGUUUGUAGAGAAAAAACACUAGUCUAUAAUGAAUUACAUUAAUGUGGCUUCGACGAGGCUUUCAUAUCGAUAUUUAAAGAAUUGGUGUGAAUCUAUUAGAGUGCAUGUAUGUUACGAAGAUUCAAGAAUUUAUUUCGAUUGUUAGGUAUAAAUAACUGUAACAAUGUUGGCUUAAUUAUUAUGUGGUUGUGUUAACACCUAGCCACAUUUUUGAGCGUUAAGUGCUUGCUAUUUACAGACUUGCACUGUUUAGUACUGUGGCAUCUUAAGAAUAGAUCUUGAAUGAAUAUUGGAAUACAAUUUAAAAGUAAGAAAUAAGUACUACAUUAAGUUAUAAAUUUGAAUUUCCAUUUUUCCAGACAUAAAAUAUGUGUGUAUAAUUUAAAUUUAUUAUUUAAUUAUCUGAUCUCCCCACAACCACAUUGAGUUCCUUUAAAUAAAGAGUAAAUUGUAUGAAUAUAAUUGUGAUUUGCUAAUAUUGCAGUAUUAUGCAUAAUAAUUUAGAAGAAUAAAUUGUAAUUUGGACAAGAGAGUAUUAAUGAUUUGGACAUGUUUUGUGUUGUAUAGCUUUUAAUGUGUUUAUGUGGAUUCUCUUAAUGACAAUGUAUUGAAGUUACCCUGUAUUUUUAUUAUCUGUUGUUUGGUUGUGUUUGUCUUUACCAGAUGGUUGAGUGGUCAGUUUUGCAUAAUUUUGUGUUUUAGUUUAUGAUAUAAAUGACUAUCUUAAAUAACUAA
rnacentral:misc_RNA from 1 species